CUUCACAGCAUUGUCACGCUAUAGCCUACGUGCCAGUGGCCAUUCUUCGAAUUUGAUUCCGUAACAUUAUAUUGCCGAAAUCCUUCUAUCGCCUUGCGACCUUCUAAACAAAACACAUUUUGAAUUUCGAGAGAUGAGUGCAGAUGGUGCAAGACAUGCCUUUCCAAAGCAACCACGUCCGCCCCUUCUCGGGAUCAACUUUAGGAUAUUUGUGCCCCCGGAAAGAAAAGAACUGAAAAGUCUCGCCUAUCCUUUGCACUCAGACAUCAACGUCCAUGAAGAGCUAGACUAAAGUAUUUUUUUUAAAGUUUAGUACGGCUGUUUAAAUAAGUAGCCUGUCAACAUGAAUAUAGUUGGGCUAAAUUUUUAUAUGUUUUUUAUAACUAUGUUUAUAACUGUAUGUAGUUUGCUAUCAGU